rnacentral:rRNA from 1 species
AGCAGCCGCGGUAAUUCCAGCUCCAAUAGCGUAUAUUAAAGUUGUUGCAGUUAAAAAGCUCGUAGUUGAAUUUCAGGCCUGGCUGGACGGUCCGCCCUUCGGGUGAGUACUGUCUGUGGUCGGGUCCUACCUUCUGGCGAAGCGUCAUGGCCUUAACCGGCCGUGGCGGGGAACCAGGACUUUUACUGUGAAAAAUUAGAGUGUUCAAAGCAGGCAAUCGCUUGGAUACAUUAGCAUGGAAUAAUGGAAUAGGACAAUGGUUCUAUUUGUUGGUUUCUAGGACCGUUGUAAUGAUUAAUAGGGAUAGUUGGGGGCAUUAGUAUUCAAUUGUCAGAGGUGAAAUUCUUGGAUUUAUUGAAGACUAACUACUGCGAAAGCAUUUGCCAAGGAUGUUUUCAUUAAUCAAGAACGAAAGUUAGGGGAUCGAAGACGAUCAGAUACCGUCGUAGU